rnacentral:rRNA from 1 species
AACGAACGCUGGCGGCAGGCUUAACACAUGCAAGUCGAGCGAGACCUUCGGGUCUAGCGGCGGACGGGUGAGUAACGCGUGGGAACGUGCCCUUCUCUACGGAAUAGCCCCGGGAAACUGGGAGUAAUACCGUAUACGCCCUUUGGGGGAAAGAUUUAUCGGAGAAGGAUCGGCCCGCGUUGGAUUAGGUAGUUGGUGGAGUAAUGGCCCACCAAGCCGACGAUCCAUAGCUGGUUUGAGAGGAUGAUCAGCCACACUGGGACUGAGACACGGCCCAGACUCCUACGGGAGGCAGCAGUGGGGAAUCUUAGACAAUGGGGGCAACCCUGAUCUAGCCAUGCCGCGUGAGUGAUGAAGGCCUUAGGGUUGUAAAGCUCUUUCAGCUGGGAAGAUAAUGACGGUACCAGCAGAAGAAGCCCCGGCUAACUCCGUG